rnacentral:rRNA from 1 species
CACGUAGGCACCAAGCGUUGUCCGGAUUUAUUGGGCGUAAAGAGCUCGUAGGCGGUUCGAUAAGUCGGGUGUGAAAACUUUGGGCUCAACCCAAAGCGUGCAUUCGAUACUGUUGUGACUAGAGUUCGGUAGGGGAGUGGGGAAUUCCUAGUGUAGCGGUGAAAUGCGCAGAUAUCAGGAAGAACACCCGUGGCGAAGGCGGCUUUCUGGGACGGUACUGACGCUGAGACGCGAAAGCGUGGGGAGCGAACAGG